rnacentral:rRNA from 1 species
GACGAACGCUGGCGGCGUGCCUAAUACAUGCAAGUAGAACGCUGAAGCUUGGUGCUUGCACCGAGCGGAAGAGUUGCGAACGGGUGAGUAACGCGUAGGUAACCUGCCUGGUAGCGGGGGAUAACUAUUGGAAACGAUAGCUAAUACCGCAUGAUAUUGAUUAUUGCAUGAUAGUCAAUUAAAAGGUGCAAUUGCAUCACUACCAGAUGGACCUGCGUUGUAUUAGCUAGUUGGUGAGGUAACGGCUCACCAAGGCAACGAUACAUAGCCGACCUGAGAGGGUGAUCGGCCACACUGGGCCUGAGACACGGCCCAGACUCCUACGGGAGGCAGCAGUAGGGAAUCUUCGGCAAUGGACGGAAGUCUGACCGAGCAACGCCGCGUGAGUGGAGAAGGUUUUCGGAUCGUAAAGCUCUGUUGUAAGAGAAGAACGAGUGUGAGAGUGGAAAGUUUACACUGU